UCGAGCGGGCCCUUCGGGGUCAGCGGCGGACGGGUGAGUAACGCGUGGGAACGUGCCUUCUGGUCUGGAAUAACCCUGGGAAACUAGGGCUAAUACCGGAUACGCCCUUUUGGGGAAAGGUUUACUGCCGGAAGAUCGGCCCGCGUCUGAUUAGCUAGUUGGUGGGGUAACGGCCUACCAAGGCGACGAUCAGUAGCUGGUCUGAGAGGAUGAUCAGCCACACUGGGACUGAGACACGGCCCAG
rnacentral:rRNA from 1 species